CGAAUACACUUGACAGCUGAGGGAACCAAAGUCCAGUGAGAAUAAGCGACCUGUCUGGUAUCAAUUUUUAAUUAUUUAUUGUGCAUUAUAGUUUCAAGUACCUUUUCUGUAUUAUUAACUAAAUUAUACAGAGAAACUAUUCUUUGCAGUUCAUUAAAAUCCCUAGACUGUCUAGAACAGGCCCUUUUGUAAGAAGUAUUCAUAAAUAGAUGAUUUUAUUUUAUGCUUUAAUUCACAUCAAUAUGGUUUUACAUUUUCCUGUGCUGAACUUCAGAUAAAGGCCUAUGGCCUCUCCUAAAUUGUGUUCAAUUAGCUUUGAGAAUAGAAAUAUAGAUCCUAAACUAACAAGCUGAUUUUUUUUCCUCUGUUGUGAAACCAGCAACCUAAUAUUCGCCUAUAUGUGAAUAAAGUAUGUAUAGAAGUACAUUGCAUUCACAAUUCAUAUACCAGACAAGGUAUAUGAAUUACGUUCUAAUGGAAGGAGUCAAACACAUACAUAAACACCAAAGAUAAAGUAUUUCAGGUAUUGGUAAAUAUUGGAGAAAACAAUGUAUUUUGGCCAUGAGUAAUUACAAUUUUAUGGCAGGUGUUGGGAAAGCCAAACUAUACAAUCAUAUUUUAAUAAUUUCCUGAGAGAGAUGAGGGACACUGGCAUGCAGUUAAAUAAGGGAAGAGCAUCUUGUCAAAAGGAAGAGGGAAAGCUCUAGGAUGGAGUCCAUCUGGAAUAGCAGAGUGAAGAGUAUGGUGGAGCAGAGGGAACAAAGGGAAGUCCUGGUAGUGAAGGCAAUAGAAAAAGGCAAUAGAAAAAGGUCCUGGUAGUGAAGGCAAUAGAAAAAGGAAGAAUAAGGGAGAAAAUUUCUAUUUAGCUAGGGUACUCCAGGCUUUUAUCCUCAGUGAGAUGGGAAGCAGAUGAUACUGAGAUGAAGAGUGAUGUGAUUUGACUUCAUUUUCAAAGGUUUAGUCUGUGCUGUGAGCAGCAUUCAGUGUGGCUAAUACACACACAGAAGCAUAAAAAUUAGGUAGGAGGCACUAUCAAUAAUCCAGAUAAGACUUCCUGUUGGCUUAGAUGAGAGAGGUAGCAAUGAGAGACUAAGAAGUUCUAGCUAUAUUCUGAGUAUAUAACUCACAAGAUUCCCUGAUGAAUUAGAUGAAAGCAUAUGAGAGAGGAAUCAAGAAUGACCCACACCUGACUGGAGAAACUUGAAGAGUGCCAUUGUCAUAGAUCAGGUUGGAGAACACUGCAUAACACAUGCUAAAGCUCAGACAGAGCUUCUACCCACAGCAAAGAUGGUAAAUGAGAAAACUAUUGAAAAAAAGCUUUAUUUAUAGUUGUAUGGCAAAAAGUAGUUGCCACUCAACUUAAAAUUAUGUCUCUGCUAUAUGACAGAAGGUAUGACUGAGCCUUGUUUCCAUUAUUUUCAAACACAUCAUCAUUCACAUACUGCUGGUAUUAGCCUUAACGCAGAUUGAAGAUUUUUUUUUUUCUGAAGGCAUUAUUUAUGUCUUCAUAUCAUUAGGAAAAUAAAAAUAGUUGUCUAAUUCAUGACCUCCCUAAUUGUCCUCUCAUGCUGAGGACAUUUGCCUGCUUCCUAUCUUUAGCUGAGGCAACACUGUAAAAUUCCAUUUAUUAAUAUGAUAUGGCCAAUAUAACCAAAUGGACAGCUGUUCACACUGGGUUAAAGGAUAUAAUACCCAAAAGCUCUCUGAAGAGGUCUAUGUUUUCUUAAAACAAAUAUUAUAAACUAUUAUAUGUAUUUGAAUAGAUAGGUUAGGAAAAGAUGAACCAAAGAUUUUACCUCCUUCCCUGUGAGAUGUCAGCCUGUAAGCUGAACCCAGUCUCACUGUGGGUCUCUAAGUGAGGCAUUGUGAGAGGCUGCAUUCCUAAACCUAUACCUCUUAGAAUUUCCCUGUGCUGUAUUGUAGGACCUUGUUGUUUAUCCAUUCUAAAUGUAGUAGUCUGCAUCUAAUAACCCCAAACUCCCAGUCUAUCUCACUCUCUCCCCAUAGAGACAUAUAAUAUAGUAUUUCUAAAGUAAUGAUUAUAACCAAAUAUAUUCAUUCAUUAGGAUCAUGGUAACUGAAUAUAGUUAUUAUAAUAAAAUAGCUACAACUGAUAUAAAUACAGCAGUGAUCUGUGAGGAUGCUAAAAUACAGUCUUGAAACUCUUUAAAAUAUAUUUCAAAUAAGGUUCUGCCAAUGAAAUGAUCAAUAUUGUGAGGAUAUGCUAAUUUCUGGGAAUAAGCUUCUUGCAUGAGAAUUCAAAUAGUUACCUUAUCUAUAUAUUAACCACUAACCUAUUUACCUAUUUAUGGAAUGAAUCACUAAAAAAUUAGCAACUGCAGAGUUUUAUCAUCAAAUAAAACUAAAAAGUAAUUAAGUUUACAGACCAUACAGCUUAAGUAUCAAGAGUUAGGAUUUUUUUUUUUUAGGGCUGCACCCAGGGCAUAUGGAGGUUCCCAGGCUCGGGGCCUAAUCCGAGCUACAGCUGCUGGCCUAUGCCAGAGCCACAGCAAUGCCAGAUCCCAGCCAUGUCUGCGACCUAAACCACAGUUCACUGCAAUGCUGGAUCCUCAUCCCACUGAGCGAGGCCAGGGAUCGAACCCUCAACCUUGUGGUUCCUACUUGGAUUUGUUUCCACUGCUCCACAAUGGGAACUCCAGGAUUUUUUUUUUAAGGCUAUACCUGCAGCAUAUGGAAGUUCCCAUUCUAGGAGUCAAAUCGGAGCUGCAGCUCUCAGCGUAUGGCACAGCCACAACACCACCAGAUCCAAGCUGCCUCUGAAAAUUUCACCACAGCUCAUAGUAACGCGGGAACCUUAACCCACUGAGUGAGGUCAGGGAUUGAAAUUGCAUCCUCAUGGACACCACGUUGUGUUCUUAACCCUCUGAGCCGCAAUAGGAACUCCCAACAGUUAGGAUUUUUUAGAACAAGGACCUUUUUGGUGCAGAUUUAUGAGAUGUUUUAUUUUCUUUUUGAAAAGUAUUGAUUUUGAAAGCCUUCUAAAUAAAUGGAACUGAUCUAUCUAUUCUUGAAUCACUGAGAGUAGGUCACCUGUAGACAGCAAAUGAUUUUUAUUUCCUAGAGGUAUAUUUUGUUGAAGAGAAAACAAAGGCAAAAGAAAGCUUAAUUUAUAAUGCCACAUGAAAUUACUGGAAUUCAGCAUUUAAGAAUUUAUGCUGUAUAUAAUAUGAGAACACACUAGCUUCUGAAAUGAAACAAAUAGACUGAUUCUGUUUUAAUCCAAUAAAUACUAUGAAAUAAACCAUAAACAGAACAAUGAAAAAAAUUCUAUUAAAUAGAGAUAUUUCAUUCACAAUCAUACCAGCUACAUUUCUUAUUUGGUAAUGGUUUAAAAAUUAAAAUACACAAUUUAAAAUAAUAAAUCAUUAAGGAUACAGAACUAUUUCUUCUGAGUUAAAAUAGAUAAUGAAAAGGACAACUAAAAUAAGGUCUUUGUUAUUGGUAAAUAU
rnacentral:lncRNA from 1 species